rnacentral:rRNA from 1 species
GAUGAACGCUGGCGGCGUGCCUAAUACAUGCAAGUCGAGCGAACAGACGAGGAGCUUGCUCCUCUGACGUUAGCGGCGGACGGGUGAGUAACACGUGGAUAACCUACCUAUAAGACUGGGAUAACUUCGGGAAACCGUAGCUAAUACCGGAUAAUAUUUUGAACCGCAUGGUUCAAUAGUGAAAGACGGUUUUGCUGUCACUUAUAGAUGGAUCCGCGCCGCAUUAGCUAGUUGGUAAGGUAACGGCUUACCAAGGCAACGAUGCAUAGCCGACCUGAGAGGGUGAUCGGCCACACUGGAACUGAGACACGGUCCAGACUCCUACGGGAGGCAGCAGUAGGGAAUCUUCCGCAAUGGGCGAAAGCCUGACGGAGCAACGCCGCGUGAGUGAUGAAGGUCUUCGGAUCGUAAAACUCUGUUAUUAGGGAAGAACAAAUGUGUAAGUAACUAUGCACGUCUUGACGGUACCUAAUCAGAAAGCCACGGCUAACUACGUG